rnacentral:tmRNA from 1 species
CUCCACCAUUUCUAUGGGGGCGAAAUAGGUUCGACGCGCGCAAUAAAGACGUAAUUUUCGCUCGGCAUGAUACCACCGUUACCGGGGUCAAAAACUACAAAUGCAAACGAUAAUGAAGCAUUUGCCGUAGCUGCUUAAUUGCACUACACGGGGUUCGGAGGGGCACCUGGCAACAGAAGCCCCUUCACU